AUUCCAGCUCCAAUAGCGUAUAUUAAAGUUGUUGCGGUUAAAAAGCUCGUAGUUGGAUUUCUGCUGAGGACGACUGGUCCGCCCCCUGGGUGAGCAUCUGGUUCGGCCUGGGCAUCUUCUUGGGGAACGUAUCUGCACUUGAUUGUGUGGUGCGGUAUCCAGGACUUUUACUUUGAGGAAAUUAGAGUGUUUCAAGCAGGCCCGCGCCUUGAAUACAUUAGCAUGGAAUAAUAAGAUAGGACCUCGGUUCUAUUUUGUUGGUUUCUAGAGCUGGGGUAAUGAUUAAUAGGGAUAGUUGGGGGCAUUCGUAUUUACAUGUCAGAGGUGAAAUUCUUGGAUUUUGGAAAGAUGAACUACUGCGAAGGCAUUUACCAAGGAUGUUUUCAUCG
rnacentral:rRNA from 1 species